rnacentral:rRNA from 1 species
UACGUAGGGGGCGAGCGUUGUCCGGAUUUAUUGGGCGUAAAGAGCGUGUAGGCGGCUUGGCAAGUCCGCUGUGAAAACUCGAGGCUCAACCUCGAGACGUCGGUGGAAACUGCCUCGCUAGAGUCCGGAAGAGGAGAGUGGAAUUCCUGGUGUAGCGGUGAAAUGCGCAGAUAUCAGGAAGAACACCCGUGGCUAAGGCGGCUCUCUAGUACGGUACUGACGCUGAGACGCGAAAGCGUGGGGAGCAAACAGG